rnacentral:rRNA from 1 species
AUGGACAUGGCUAUCAUCCUCAUCCUUCUCCUCCUGCCUUUCGUUGGUGCCGAAUGGCAGGUGUGCGGCAGCAGCGGCAACUACACAUCAAACAGCACCUACCAAGCAAACCUCCUGCUCCUCUCCUCCACCCUUCCCAACAAGGCCGUGUCCAACACUAGCAGCCUCUUCGCCACCGCCACCGUGGGUGAUGCUCCGGACAUCGUCUACGCCCUCUCGCUCUGCCGCGGGGACAGUACCGACGCCUCCGACUGUGAGAGCUGCGUGGCUGCCGCCUUCGAAGAUGCGCAGCAGAGCUACCCGUACAAUAAGGAGGCCAGCUUGUACUAUGAUGCCUGCAUGCUCAGGUUCUCCAACCAUAAUUUUCUUCUUGCCAACAGCACCGAAGAUCAUAUGAGCUGGAUCACCAUCCGGAACAACCUCAACUUCACGACAGGGGGCGACUCCCUCAACAGCACGGCCCAAGCGGCUGCAAAAAGCUCGAGGAGGUUCACCACCUCGCGCUUAGGCGUCAACCUCGUCCCGACGACGGUGUACUGCCUUAUGCAGUGCACGCCCGACCUCACGCUCGACGACUGCACGGCUUGUUUACAGCUUGUUUUGAAGCAUACGCUCAAGUCCCUAGACGGAGCGCAAGGUGGUCGAAUUCUAGGGACACGGUGUAGCAUGAGGUACGAGCUAUACCACUUCUACGAAGGGGUCCCCAUGCUUGCAAUUCCGGCCGUCAACGGCACCACGCCGCCUACCAGGUACCCACAUUCCCAGUCGCAUCCACCAGCUGCGGCGCCUCCCCGGCUGGCGCAGGCGACCGUCCAAGAACAGCAGGGAAAGGCAAAUUUAAACCACCAGGCUGCCACCAAUAGACCAGAAGAAGACGAACUGGUCUGGAGAUUGGAGGAGAAGAGUUCAGAGUUCACUCUCUUUGACUUUUCUGAGAUAUUACAUGCUACACAUAACUUCUCCAAAGAAAAUCUACUUGGACAAGGUGGUUUUGGCCCUGUCUACAAGGGCCAAUUACCAGAUGGAAUGCAAAUUGCAGUCAAAAGGCUUGCCUCACAUUCAGGACAGGGUUUUACAGAAUUCAAAAAUGAAGUUGAACUUAUUGCAAAAUUACAGCACAAUAAUCUUGUCAAGCUCUUGGGAUGCUGCAUUCAGGGAGAGGAAAAACUAUUGGUGUACGAGUAUUUGCCAAAUAAGAGCUUGGACUUCUUUAUAUUUGAAAGAAACAGGACAGCUUUUAUUGAUUGGAACAAUAGACGUGCGAUAAUCGAAGGGAUAGCCCAAGGUCUUCUGUAUCUCCACAAGCACUCUCGGUUACGCAUCAUACACAGAGACCUUAAGGCCAGCAACAUUCUUUUGGACAAGGACAUGAAUCCAAAAAUUUCUGAUUUUGGCCUAGCAAAAAUAUUCAGCUCCAAUGAUAUCCAGGGAAGCACAAAGAGGUGGCUAUAUGUCUCCGGAGUAUGCAUCUGA